rnacentral:rRNA from 1 species
AAACGUAGGGUGCAAGCGUUAUCCGGAUUCAUUGGGCGUAAAGGGUUCGUAGGCGGUUUGGUAAGUAUGUUGUCAAAGUCCACUGCUCAACGGUGGAAAGGCAAUGUAAACUGCCAAACUAGUGGAUUGUUGGGGAUUUUGGAAUUCCCGGUGGAGGAGUGAAAUCCGUGGAUAUCGGGAAGAACACCAAGGGCGAAGGCAGAAAUCUAAACAAUUCCAGACGCUGAGGAACGAAAGCUAGGGGAGCAAAGCGGAUUAGAGACCCGCGUAGUCCUAGCUGUAAACAUUUCUUGCUAGCUGUUCGGUCUUAGAUCGAGUGGCGUAAGCUAACGCGUUAAGCAAGACGCCUGGGAAGUACGACCGCAAGGUUAAA